GAGUGAACGCUGGCGGUAGGCCUAACCCAUGCAAGUCGAACGGCAGCACAGUAAUAGCUUGCUCUUACGGGUGGCGAGUGGCGGACGGGUGCGGAAUACAUCGGAAUCUACUUUUUCGUGGGGGAUAACGUAGGGAAACUUACGCUAAUACCGCAUACGACCUACGGGUGAAAGCAGGGGAUCUUCGGACCUUGCGCGAUUGAAUGAGCCGAUGUCGGGUUAUCUAGUUGGCGGGGUAAAGGCCCACCAAGGCGACGAUCCGUAGCUGGUCUGAGAGGAUGAUGGGCCACACUAGAAGUGGGACACGGUCCAGACUCCUACGGGAGGCAGCAGUGGGGAAUAUUGGACAAUGGGCGCAAGCCUGAUCCAGCCAUACCGCGUGGGUGAAGAAGGCCUUCGGGUUGUAAAGCCCUUUUGUUGGGAAAGAAAAGCAGCAGGUUAAUACCCCGCUGUUCUGACGGUACCCAAAGAAUAAGCACCGGCUAACUUCGUG
rnacentral:rRNA from 1 species